AAGCGUUGUCCGGAAUUAUUGGGCGUAAAGAGCUCGUAGGCGGUUUGUCGCGUCUGGUGUGAAAACUCAAGGCUCAACCUUGAGCUUGCAUCGGGUACGGGCAGACUAGAGUGUGGUAGGGGUGACUGGAAUUCCUGGUGUAGCGGUGGAAUGCGCAGAUAUCAGGAGGAACACCGAUGGCGAAGGCAGGUCACUGGGCCACUACUGACGCUGAGGAGCGAAAGCAUGGGGAGCGAACAGGAUUAGAUACCCUGGUAGUCCAUGCCGUAAACGUUGGGCACUAGGUGUGGGGCUCAUUCCACGAGUUCCGCGCCGCAGCUAACGCAUUAAGUGCCCCGCCUGGGGAGUACGGCCGCAAGGCUAAAACUCA
rnacentral:rRNA from 1 species